rnacentral:rRNA from 1 species
CUACGGGUCGCACCAGUGAGGAAUAUUGCACAAUGGGGGGAACCCUGAUGCAGCAACGCCGCGUGGAGGAUGACGCAUUUCGGUGUGUAAACUCCUUUUAUAUGUCAAGAAAAUGACGGUAGCAUAUGAAUAAGCACCGGCUAACUCCGUGCCAGCAGCCGCGGUAAUACGGAGGGUGCAAGCGUUACUCGGAAUCACUGGGCGUAAAGGACGCGUAGGCGGGUUGGAAAGUCAGGUGUGAAAUCCUACAGCUUAACUGUAGAACUGCACUUGAAACUUCUAAUCUAGAGUAUGGGAGGGGGAGAUGGAAUUAGUGGUGUAGGGGUAAAAUCCGUAGAUAUCACUAGGAAUACCUAAAGCGAAGGCGAUCUCCUGGAACAUUGCUGACGCUAAGGCGUGAAAGCGUGGGGAGCAAACGGGAUUAGAUACCCCCGUAGUC